rnacentral:rRNA from 1 species
AUUGAACGCUGGCGGCAGGCCUAACACAUGCAAGUCGAGCGCGCGGCGGAGGGGGGAGUAUUGUGUGGGAAACUGUCUGAUGGAGGGGGAGAUCUACCGGAAACGGUAGCUAAUAUCGCGCACCAUAACAUGUGCCCACAUGGGAUUAGCUAGCAGGUGGGGUAACGGCUCACCUAGGCGACGAUCCCUAGCUGGUCUGAGAGGAUGACCAGCCACACGGGAACUGAGACACGGUCCAGACUCCUACGGGAGGCAGCAGUGGGGAAUAUUGCACAAUGGGCGCAAGCCUGAUGCAGCCAUGCCGCGUGUGUGAAGAAGGCCUUCGGGUUGUAAAGCACUUUCAGCGGGGAGGCGUUACCCGCAGAAGAAGCACCGGCUAACUCCGUGCCAGCAGCCGCGGUAAUUC